rnacentral:rRNA from 1 species
UGGGAACGUACCCUUUGGUUCGGAACAACCCAGGGAAACUUGGGCUAAAUACCGGAUACGUCCGUAAGGAGAAAGAUUUAUCGCCAAGGGAUCGGCCCGCGUCUGAUUAGCUAGUUGGUGGGGUAAUGGCCCACCAAGGCUACGAUCAGUAGCUGGUCUGAGAGGAUGAUCAGCCACAUUGGGACUGAGACACGGCCCAAACUCCUACGGGAGGCGG